rnacentral:rRNA from 1 species
GACGAACGCUGGCGGCGCGCUUAACACAUGCAAGUCGAACGGAAAGGCCUGCUUUCCCUUGUGGAUUGCGGGUACUCGAGUGGCGAACGGGUGAGUAACACGUGAGUGAUCUGCCCCCAACUUGGGUAUAAGCCUGGGAAACUGGGUCUAAUUCCCGAUAGGACUGCAGGGUGGUGCCUGUGGUGGAAAACGAUUUUCUAGUGGUUGGGGAUGAGCUCGCGGCCUAUCAGCUUGUUGGUGGGGUAAUGGCCUACCAAGGCGGCGACGGGUAGCCGGCCUGGGAGGGUGGACGGCCACAUUGGGACUGAGAUACGGCCCAGACUCCUACGGGAGGCAGCAGUGGGGAAUAUUGCACAAUGGGCGGAAGCCUGGUGCAGCGACGCCGCGUGGGGGAUGACGGCCUUCGGGUUGUAAACUCCUUUCGACCGCGAGGAAGCCACCUGGUUGGAAGGGUGGUGACGGUAGUGGUAGAAGAAGCACCGGCUAACUACGUG